CAUGUGUGCUAAUAAAUCGGUAAUAUUUGAUCAUAAAAUACUCUUGUGUGCCAUUUUUUAUUGCCAUUGUAUGCAAUGACUGAACUUACAUUGUAUUUUUAAAAUACAAUCUAGAAAGCAGGUGAAUUGACACAAGAACUAUCCACAGUAAAAAAAGAAAAUGAAAAUUUGUCAAAGAAGUUGGGAAUACUUAAACAGGAUUAUGUGAGGAUACUUCAUGAACAUACAUUAACUUGUACAGAUACUGCCGAAGUAAGAAGAGGAUUGAAUUUUGAAGUUGAUGAACUGAAAUCUGAUCUCUGUUAUUUAAAAACAAAAUUGGUAGAAGAGAAUAAGAAAGAGAAGGAGAAAUUUCAAGAAAGUAUUAAGUCCUUGAAUACACGAAUAAGACAACACAAAAA